AAAUCAUAGUAAGGGGAAUUAUGUACGGUGGCCCCAAGGUGCAAAACACAACAGCAAAUCAGAAAACACCACAGCAAAUUAAAAAAAAACACGACAUUAACAAUUGUGUUUUCCCUUUUUGUGUUGUGUUUUCUGAUUUGCUGUUGUGUUUUGCACCUUAAGGCCACCGUAAUUAUUUGCCAUUAUUUUGUUA